rnacentral:rRNA from 1 species
CAGCACCUCAAGUGGUCAGGAUGAUUAUUGGGCCUAAAGCAUCCGUAGCCGGCGCUGUAAGUUUUCGGUUAAAUCUGUACGCUCAACGUAUAGGCUGCCGGGAAUACUGCAGCGCUAGGGAGUGGGAGAGGUAGACGGUACUCGGUAGGAAGGGGUAAAAUCCUUUGAUCUAUUGAUGACCACCUGUGGCGAAGGCGGUCUACCAGAACACGUCCGACGGUGAGGGAUGAAAGCUGGGGGAGCAAACCGGAUUAGAUACCCGGGUAGUCC